rnacentral:rRNA from 1 species
UACAGAGGUGGCAAGCGUUAUUCGGAAUUACUGGGCGUAAAGGGCGCGUAGGCGGCCUUCUAAGUCGGACGUGAAAGCCCCAGGCUUAACCUGGGAACCGCGUCCGAUACUGGGAGGCUUGGAUUCGGGAGAGGGAUGUGGAAUUCCAGGUGUAGCGGUGAAAUGCGUAGAUAUCUGGAGGAACACCGGUGGCGAAGGCGGCAUCCUGGACCGAGAUCGACGCUGAGGCGCGAAAGCUAGGGGAGCAAACAGG